rnacentral:rRNA from 2 species
GCUGGCGGCGUGCCUAAUACAUGCAAGUCGAACGAACUCUGGUAUUGAUUGGUGCUUGCAUCAUGAUUUACAUUUGAGUGAGUGGCGAACUGGUGAGUAACACGUGGGAAACCUGCCCAGAAGCGGGGGAUAACACCUGGAAACAGAUGCUAAUACCGCAUAACAACUUGGACCGCAUGGUCCGAGUUUGAAAGAUGGCUUCGGCUAUCACUUUUGGAUGGUCCCGCGGCGUAUUAGCUAGAUGGUGGGGUAACGGCUCACCAUGGCAAUGAUACGUAGCCGACCUGAGAGGGUAAUCGGCCACAUUGGGACUGAGACACGGCCCAAACUCCUACGGGAGGCAGCAGUAGGGAAUCUUCCACAAUGGACGAAAGUCUGAUGGAGCAACGCCGCGUGAGUGAAGAAGGGUUUCGGCUCGUAAAACUCUGUUGUUAAAGAAGAACAUAUCUGAGAGUAACUGUUCAGGUAUUGACGGUAUUUAACCAGAAAGCCACGGCUAACUACGUGCCAGCAGCCGCGGUAAUACGUAGGUGGCAAGCGUUGUCCGGAUUUAUUGGGCGUAAAGCGAGCGCAGGCGGUUUUUUAAGUCUGAUGUGAAAGCCUUCGGCUCAACCGAAGAAGUGCAUCGGAAACUGGGAAACUUGAGUGCAGAAGAGGACAGUGGAACUCCAUGUGUAGCGGUGAAAUGCGUAGAUAUAUGGAAGAACACCAGUGGCGAAGGCGGCUGUCUGGUCUGUAACUGACGCUGAGGCUCGAAAGUAUGGGUAGCAAACAGGAUUAGAUACCCUGGUAGUCCAUACCGUAAACGAUGAAUGCUAAGUGUUGGAGGGUUUCCGCCCUUCAGUGCUGCAGCUAACGCAUUAAGCAUUCCGCCUGGGGAGUACGGCCGCAAGGCUGAAACUCAAAGGAAUUGACGGGGGCCCGCACAAGCGGUGGAGCAUGUGGUUUAAUUCGAAGCUACGCGAAGAACCUUACCAGGUCUUGACAUACUAUGCAAAUCUAAGAGAUUAGACGUUCCCUUCGGGGACAUGGAUACAGGUGGUGCAUGGUUGUCGUCAGCUCGUGUCGUGAGAUGUUGGGUUAAGUCCCGCAACGAGCGCAACCCUUAUUAUCAGUUGCCAGCAUUAAGUUGGGCACUCUGGUGAGACUGCCGGUGACAAACCGGAGGAAGGUGGGGAUGACGUCAAAUCAUCAUGCCCCUUAUGACCUGGGCUACACACGUGCUACAAUGGAUGGUACAACGAGUUGCGAACUCGCGAGAGUAAGCUAAUCUCUUAAAGCCAUUCUCAGUUCGGAUUGUAGGCUGCAACUCGCCUACAUGAAGUCGGAAUCGCUAGUAAUCGCGGAUCAGCAUGCCGCGGUGAAUACGUUCCCGGGCCUUGUACACACCGCCCGUCACACCAUGAGAGUUUGUAACACCCAAAGUCGGUGGGGUAACCUUUUAGGAACCAGCCGCCUAAGGUGGGACAGAUGA